GUGGUUGUAGCUCAGCGGGAAGAGCGCCGCCUCGCCAUGGCGGAGGUCCCGGGUUCAAAUCCCGGUAACCACUC
rnacentral:tRNA from 1 species